UCGUGUCGUGAGAUGUUCGGUUAAGUCCGGCAACGAGCGCAACCCACAUCCUUAGUUGCCAGCAGUUCGGCUGGGCACUCUAAGGAAACUGCCCGUGAUAAGCGGGAGGAAGGUGUGGAUGACGUCAAGUCCUCAUGGCCCUUACGGGUUGGGCUACACACGUGCUACAAUGGCAGUGACAAUGGGUUAAUCCCCAAAAGCUGUCUCAGUUCGGAUUGGGGUCUGCAACUCGACCCCAUGAAGUCGGAAUCGCUAGUAAUCGCAGGUCAGAAUACUGCGGUGAAUACGUUCCCGGGCCUU
rnacentral:rRNA from 1 species